rnacentral:miRNA from 1 species
CUGAUAAGAACAGAGGCCCAGAU